rnacentral:rRNA from 1 species
ACGAGAAUAUUCCGCAAUGGACGAAAGUCUGACGGAGCGACGCCGCGUGAUGGAUGAAGUGCCUUGGUACGUAAACAUCUUUUAUCGGGGACGAAGUUUAUUGACGGUACCCGAUGAAUAAGGAGCUCCUAACUCUGUGCCAGCAGGAGCGGUAAUACAGAGGCUCCAAGCAUUACCCGGAAUCACUGGGCGUAAAGGGUGUCUAGGCGGCCAUAUUAGUCUCUCGUUAAAUGUCCGAGCUCAACUUGGUCACUGCGAGGGAAACGGUAUGGCUCGAGGGCGUGAGAGGUGCAUGGAACUCAUGGUGGAGGGGUGAAAUCCGUUGAUAUCAUGGGGAACACCAAAGGCGAAGGCAAUGCACUGGUACGUUCCUGAUGCUCAAACACGAAAGCCAGGGUAGCGAAUGGGAUUAGAUACCCCCGUAGUCCCUGAGCGGGCUGGCAAGGCGCAU